CGCACACCAGUGUGAAGUGAUUCGCCUACGGCUCGCGAUCAGCUGUUCCUUAAUCUCUGCCUGGCACUCUUGUAGAUUUUCUAUUUUGCUGCAUUCAUCGCAGUGACGUGCAAGUUCCAAGUGUUUAACUUACAUGUGAAGGUUUAUUUUUAGUUGUUUAAGAAUGCUUUGUAGUAAUUUAAAACCGUACCGAAGUAACGUGAUCGGGUGUUGUACCGCGAUUUAACGUCACUCUAACCCGGAUGUGAGGACAAUAUCCAACCGCCUUACAUUGGAUACAAUAUCGUGUAAAUGUUUUGUGAUAAAAACAAUUCUAUGCCCCUUGUGUUUUGAUUUUUGUCAGUGGGCAAGUUUGCCAUAUACUGUUGAAACAUGAAGAGAGCUAAACAGAAUGUUUUUCGUGACAUCUACAAUCAGCCUUACGACGAUACCACGAGACUCAAACUUUAUACAAGUAGCAAAGCAAGCCUACAACUCAUGCAGCGAAUGUCGCUAUUGAAGAGAUUGAAGGUCCACAACGGUUGUGUCAAUUCAAUUUGCUGGAAUAAUAGUGGAGAGUUGUUAUUAUCUGGGAGCGAUGAUCAACAUUUGGUUUUAACCAAUGCAUACAAUUAUCAGGUGCUGACAGAUUAUAAAACAAGUCACAGGGCAAAUAUUUUCAGUGCAAAAUUUUUGCCAAACAGUGGUGAUCAUCGCAUUAUAUCAUGCAGUGGCGACGGUAUUAUUCUUUAUACAGAUCUGAUGAGAAGGGCAGAGACAUUUAAUAAUCAAUUCACAUGCCACAGCGGAACCACUUAUGAAAUUGCUACUAUACCCAAUGAACCGCACAGUUUUCUCAGUUGCGGAGAAGACGGAACUGUCAGAUGGUUUGAUCUCAGAGUCAAGGACAAAUGUAACUCCUCAAGGUGCAAAGAUGAUGUACUGAUCUCGUGUCAAAGAGCCGUAACAGCUCUAUCUGUUAAUCCACUUAUGCCUCAUCAACUGGCGAUUGGAUGUUCUGAUAGCACAGUGCGAACUUUUGAUAGAAGAAUGCUUGGGACCCCAGCCACAGGUUGGACUGAUAAUGGUGGGUCAGUGAGACCACUGUGCAGCUUCACCGUCCCCGAAUUUGAAGGGAAUUCAUACAGAAUAACAUCGUUGAGUUAUAGUCCAGAUGGACAAGACGUCCUCGUCAGCUACAGCAGCGAUCACCUUUAUUUAUUUAGCGUAAAGGAUCAAGGCAGUGUACAUUUGAAAAAAGACUCUGUCCUCGGUAAGGGCAAAGGGAAGAAACAUCCUCUGAGAUCCCCUCAGCCAGUAAGAAGAUUGAGACUCAGAGGUGAUUGGUCUGACACUGGGCCUGAUGCACGUCCGGAACGUGAAGGUGGUCGCCGCGGUGGGACUGAAAUAGCUCAAGCUCGUCCUGUGCUGCAUACAUCGUUGAUGCAGAGAAUGACAGAUGUUCUCAGUCGUAUGUUGAAUGACCCUGCUACUCGAGCUGCGCUUAGCGGCGGUGGUGAAGAUAGCCUUGAAGGUGUUGUAGAUCAACAAGAGGAGAGUAAUCAAAAUGUAAGUGGUAAUGUUGAGAACAACAAUGAAGUGAGCGGCGACAGGGCGAGCGAUGAAGUCGAAUCACUGGAAGGAAUAACGGAGCCUGUCAUUGCAGAGCCAAGCGGUAACAGUCAAGUAGAAAGUUUGAAUUUGAUUGAAACCGUGGCUCCAACUACCGACAGCAUAAUGGUAGAUGCAAAUGCUGAAGAGUUCGAAAAUAACUCAAGCGUUCCUGUUAUACCUCCAUCUGAGUUACCUACAGCUGUACCUGCAUUGACCGAGAACAGAUCAAUUCUCACCAAAUCUGAUGAUGUUCCUAUGGAAACUGAUUCUAGUCAUACCGAUGUAUCAAAGGCUUCCAUCCAAUCACUGAAAUCACUCAGUAUAUCGAGGUUAGAUAACCAGAAUAGAGCGGACAGUGCAGUUCCCAGCACAAGUAUUGACGCUAAUAGAGAAGAUAGUAUGAUAGAAAAUCUGCAAGACAGAUUAACCACAAUGCGAGAUGGAUUUCUUGAACGUCAUGGCAGUGAACCAGCUGUAAGUUUAACCUACUCUGACAGAAGUUCAACAGGUGCUACCAUUUCUCUAGGUGUUGGAGACGAAGUCAUUCGUGAUGGUUUUCAUCCAGGUCCAUCCAGUAGCCAAAAUGCUAACAGUGCAAUAGAUAAUGUGGGGCCAAGUCUAAAUCGCAACAAACAACCGACAUGUAAUACAACUGAAGAUUCCGACGAAGAUGUGUAUAACGACAGUGAUGAUGAGGACAUCAGUCCAACCAGGAGGAAUGUGAAUCCGAUUGAAACAGAGAUGGAUGAGGCUAUAGCGAGUGCUCGUGGAUCCCAGGGUCAUGAAAUGUUUGAUGAAAGUUGUCUAACAGAAUUAAGAGUCAAACAGAAAUAUAUGGGUCAUCGUAAUGCGAGUUUCUUUAGGACCAUGAUUAAAGAAGCUAACUUUUGGGGUGACGAUUACGUCAUGUCUGGCAGUGACUGUGGGCAUGUCUUUAUUUGGGAAAGAAGUACAGCGAACUUGUGUAUGCUUCUCGAGGCUGAUCAGCACGUAGUUAAUUGCCUACAGCCGCACCCCUACCUACCAAUGUUAGCCACCUCGGGAAUUGAUUAUGAUGUCAAAUUAUGGGCGCCAAUUAAUGAGGAAACGAGUUUUGACGAUAAAUUUGCCGAAGAUCUCAAGAAACGUAAUGCCGUUAUGUUGGAAGAGACUAAAGAUACCAUCACAGUGCCUGCAGUAUUUAUGAUCAGGAUGUUGGCAUGCCUCAACCAGAUACGCAGAGGGCGUGGACGUAACAGAAGGAGAAGUGGAGAUGAAACCGACGAAUUGAGAGGUGGAUAGAAAACGUACAAUCCGCAAAAUGUUUUAACAUUCAAAGCUUGUAUUUUAGAUAGUACGUGAUCCAACGACGACCGUCGAGUAUUAGCGUGUGGCGAAGGUAAAACAAAUUUGCCCAUGAGAUCACUGAGAACUCGUACAUUUUUACCGUAAAAGCUUCCUCGCAUUGUCCCGUCUUACGUAAAUCAAGUCGCAGUGUUGUCGUAAGAAAAACGAUAAUAUAGUUUUCAUACGCUAACUAUCAAUUAAAGGUUCUUAACGCGUUAAAAAUUAUUACCCGUUUGAAAAUUUAAUGGCUUCGUCGGCACGUCGUAUGUUUCGAUUACUUCUACUAUUUAUCAUCCACCGAACUGAGAAAGUCAACCAGCUUAGACGUUCAGUUGUUAAAAGUUGAACAAUGCGUUCUUCGCAAGUUUUGCCAUAAUUUUAAUUAUCCAGUACAGCUAUAAGUACACGAAAUCGAACGAAUUUCCAAUCAUUAGAAUUUUUUUAUUAUAUUGUACAGGAUACUCACGAGUUACGAGGUGACAUUACUAUUCAGAGUAACAUAAAUGAUAUUCUUAUGAAUCUGAAUAUGUAAAUUCAUUGACAUCGAGGUACGCAAUGAAAUUUUACGGAUAGUCAAAAGGGUGAAAAUUUUACCCAAUUGUUGUGGACACAAGUCUUGAAUAAUAUAUCAGCUUGGAGCUUAAUAUUAGAUGAAAGAUGUUCCGAUUUUCAAGUAAACUGCAGUGAUAUGAAGAGUAAUUAUCAGCUAAUAAAUAAUUACGAUGAUAACAGUGACAUUGUCACAAUGAUAUUGAAUCAAAAGCCAUUAUAGAACUGAACGUGCUUCGUUGAUCUGUAUAUGGAAUUGAAGUUUAUUUGAUUUGUCUGUUUUUCAAUCCUCUACUUUUAUUUUUUGAAAUAUAUAUGUAUAUUUCUAAUAAUCUGUAGAGAUGAAUGUUGCAUUUCUCCUCAGUUACUGUACUGUAAUAAUAUACGUAGUCGUGUAUGUUUUCGGACUGUUUAAUUUUAAUUGUUAUACGAAAGUGAGAGAAGGAUCAAAAAAUAAAAGAAAAGAAAAUAAAAAUAGCAAAUAGGUAUUGAAAAAUAUUUUUUGAACCAGAGUGCAAUAUGAUACACGUCGCAAAGAUACAAACAUACGUUCGUAUUUCGCGAGGAUUAGAAUCUUAGGGAUUGAUAGAUAUUUGAUUUGUUUACAACGUAACAGUAAGUUUGGAAUGUAUGUUUAAUACUCUGAUGCAACGCAUCCGUCAUUAGUUUUUACAAAAUGAUGUAUUUAUUAUAUAGCGAACGAAUGUAGUAUACCGCAAUGUGAAAAUUUUCGACUAAAUAAAUACACGUACUCGCAUUCGUGCCAAGGAUCGCUCCUUAAUUUUUACCGGAUUAUUCUUUUUUCCCCCAAUAGUAACGAUGAUAUUAAUAAUAAUAGUGCAUUCCCGGUUUUAACGACACGUUGUUGACGAGGCGAAAUAUCGUUAAAUAAAUAAAUUGGAACAUCUAAGUAAAUGCGCAACUUUUCUGCUGCGAGUAGACAAGCGCAAAACUGUCCAAAGUUUUUCACCGAAGUAAUUCGUCUUGUAAAUGUAUAAUAUUGUAAAAAUUAGACGGGAAGUACAGAGUUUGGGUGAGUGGACGGUUUUCAGAACGGGGAACAAAGGAAACGAAAAUGCAGAGAAACGGAAAGCAAUCAACAAGAAAGAUCUAAUUUAAUAACACAAUUUGAACUAUGCAAUAUUAGAGCAUUGAAUAAACAUAAAAUAUACAAAAUAUAAAAUCUUAAAUACAAACAAUAAAUUCACACUAAUAAUAAUGAUUAACGCAAUUUUUCGGUCUUUCUGAUCAUUGAAUUGGUAUAUUUGAUUGUAUUGAGCAGGGUCAGCAGGGUCUAUGCAUGUAUGUAUGUAAUGUAGUACUUGUAUACACGAGUUUUUUAUGAUUAAAAAAAAAAAACGCAUUACCGUUUGUUGUCGUAUAUUACAAUGGCACACUUUGGGCAAUAUUCAAGUACAUAAUAUAGAG
rnacentral:misc_RNA from 1 species